rnacentral:rRNA from 1 species
UACGGAGGGGGCUAGCGUUGUUCGGAAUUAUUGGGCGUAAAGAGCUCGUAGGCGGUUUGUCGCGUCUGCUGUGAAAACCCGAGGCUCAACCUCGGGCCUGCAGUGGGUACGGGCAGACUAGAGUGCGGUAGGGGAGAUUGGAAUUCCUGGUGUAGCGGUGGAAUGCGCAGAUAUCAGGAGGAACACCGAUGGCGAAGGCAGAUCUCUGGGCCGUAACUGACGCUGAGGAGCGAAAGCGUGGGGAGCGAACAGG